ensembl:lncRNA
AUGACAAAGCUGAAAGAGCCCAUUGUAACACACCCACUUGGGCUUUGGGAGUUGCAGACACCCACCCCUAGACACUACUGGUGGCGAAGGUGGAGCCCAAAGCACUUGCCCCAGCUCCUGCAUCUGGCCCGUUUGUGUGCUCCCACUCCCGUAAAAGAUUUGAGCUCCCAGCAGCUGAACAGAGUGCAACACCCCUGUCACAUGUCCUGCAAGAAGCAGGGGCCAGGGAACUCUCCCACCUCAAAGAUUCUGCAAUCUGAGGAUGAAUGCAGCUCAAUGUGUCGUUGGUUUCAUCUGGGGUCUCUCAUGUGUCUACAGUUGUCUGGGGGAUUGACUAAGACUGGAAAAUCCAAAAUGGACUUAUACCUCUUGUGCCUCAUUUUUCACUGGAUCUCCAUAAAUUGUAAAUAUUACAUCUUCUUACAAUUGUAUGUUUUCUUAGUUUCAUUUAAAUGAACUAUCUCAUCUGGGAUACUUUACUUCUUUCUACCCUUAGUAUUCCGAAGCACCCUCUGCAUUGGCCCCAAACCCCAGUAUCAUGGCUGUAUUUAACUGCCCUUUACCUCUCUGUAUCCUUACUUCCCACCCAUCCUACUUUGGCUUCAGCCCCUCCUCUUACCCUUCUGCUAAAACACAGAUUAGAUGUCAGUUGCUUAAGAGCAGACUCUUGUUCGUGGUUUUAUUCCCAGUUUCUGACACAGUGCCUGGAACAGAAUAAGUGAUCAAUAUGCAGCUGUGGAGGAAGUAUGACUAAAUAUCAAAAUCAUGAAUAGAAAGUAAAAAUAAAAAGUGCAUUCCACCCCAAUGGAAUUUCCACAAAUAAAUAACAGAAGUCAUUUAAAAGGACAUAAAGUCAAGGGGUUCAAGUGAAGAGUCAUUACAAUGAGGUAAUGGUAGCAUUUGAUAAAAAUCCAUUGUUUCACAAGCAUAUUUGAUCAAAUUAUGUUUCUUCAAGAAAAACAAAAAAGUACAGAAUGCACCAUUUAAUAAAGAGGGAUGAAGCAAUAAUACUAGUGUAGAAUAUUUUACCAUGUCUGAGUAUAUGAGAAACAUAACAAAGUCAUUUUAAGCCUAAGACUUUUUUUAUCUAAGCUUAUUUUCACCAUUUAUGCGAUCAUAAACUAGUCUCUAAUUUUUAUUUUCUGGACAUCAUGAUGUAUAAAGCAAUAAAUGAAAAAAACACUUAGUAAAACAAGAGAAAACAAGUGGUUAUUGUCUAAUCUUUUAGUCUCUAAAAUUGUAAAGCUUCCCAGGAUUUUAUAUUUUGCACUGAAAGCCCUUUUUUUGCCAGCUACAUCUUUACCCACUUGGUUAACUUCUAUUCUUUCUUCAAGGUUCAAGUAACCUUUUAUCCAUUCUAAGAAGUCUUCUAGAAAUCAUUCUGACCGUAUUAGGUAACAUCUCACAGACUCCCCAAGUACUAUCUCUUUCUAGCAUUGUGACACCCCAUUAAAAUGAUAUAUUCACUCAUCCCUUAGAUUACAACCUCCUUUAAUGUAAGGAGAAUACCUAAUAUUCAAUAGACACUCAGUAAAUGUUUGUGGAAGAAAAGAAUGAUGGGAGAAGGACCAUGUACCAUUACAUGGUCACUGAGGUGGAACACCAGGGUACUGAUAAUCAUUCAAUACAACUGGAAGGACGUCUACGAGUCACCGGUUUUGUUCAUCUUACCUGAAUGUGUUGUUCUGAAUAUAUUUCCACAUUCUCCUAUCCAAUCAUGAUUCAUAAGUCCGUGUUAUGAUGACUGAUUCCCUCAGGAGAUGAGGGAGAGCAAGGGCAUAGGGAAUGAGAAGACUAGGGAGGGAGCAUGAAAAAGGAGUGGGGAAUAGCCCAGGAAUCAUCCCCUCCUAAGUGGAAAUUACUUCCAACCCUUACCAAUGAUGAUAAAUUAACACUUAUUUAUUGAGGACUUCUCUAGCAUACACUGUGCUAAGCAACUCCAAGCCUUGCUCCUUUUCAUCCUGGCAAAAUGCCUAUGAGCUACACGUGCAUGAGAAAAACAGCAUUCAGUCAUAUGUUGGGGAAGGAGCAGAAGCUUGGAUUGAGUUUACUUCUGGCUGAAUCCAUAAACUCAUACUCCCUUUUUGCCACUACGCUAUGUGGCUCCAGCAUCCCUAAGCCAGCAAAGAAGUUCUUAUCUUCCUACCAAAACCUGCCCCCUGAGUCUGGAAAUGUCAAGUAUAAAAGUUCUUUGAAAAGACUGGGACUAGUAUUCCACUGUCCCUAAUAAUUCAUUUACUUACUUUGACAACAAACACAUCCUCAGACUUUGAGGUCUUCAGUCUAUUUAAGAGAGAGAAGACAAAAUUCUCUGCUGAAAUUUUAGUCUAUUUCCUCUUCAGAAGGCAACACUAGAGUCAGACAGUGAUCAAAUUGUCACUUUGGUGUUGGCACAGCUAGAUUGGAGAACAUGGUAUGGAAUCAAACGUCUGCUUCCCCAACCCAGUACUGAACUUACCACCCAGUCACUGGCAAAACAGUUGCGCAACCAGGUAGCUGUGGCCACUCUCCCAGUCUCCCCCAGUUCCCAUCUCCCCUAUUCCCAGAAAGGUAGGAACAAGAUCAGCGACACAAUUUGCAAGGUCCAAGGCAAAAUAAAUAUGUGGGACCCUUUGGUCAAAACCAGGAAGAAGUGCUGUUAAAGAUAAUAUGCAAAAGGUUCUUCUUUUUUCUGAGACGUCACUCUUAACUUGUGGUUUUAUUUGCUACUUAAUAUCAUUCUAAGUAAAGAAAAAUGAGAAUUUUCUAUUAUUAGCACUGCCAAAUAGUUAUUACCAAAAAUUAUUUUGAUCUAUGAGCUGACAGUUUAAG